UACACCCUGGGAUAUUAGCUAGGCUGCUUAGACCCCUGAGCCGAUGCUUUUUACCCCGGAGGGCUCUAGCCGAGAUUGGUGUGCAUGUCCGCUUGUCGGAAAGCCUAAAAAUCUUGCGGAGAACUCCACCUUGAACCGCUGGGUUCAAGGGCCACGUAGCCGGCGGUAUCUUGGGGCCUAU
rnacentral:other from 2 species